UGGGUUGUGGCUCAGCGUAGAGUGCUCACCUAGCAUGUGCGAGGCACUGGGUUCAAACCUCAGCACCACAU
rnacentral:tRNA from 1 species